GCGCGCCUCUCCUUCCGUCCUUCUGCGGUGUUCAGCGCGGGAACCGAUGGAAAAAGCCUACCGCUCCGCGGCGAGCAAGGGGGAGGAAGGCAGGACUAUGUGGUGCGCCUCCGCGCCGGCUGCCUCCGCGCCGGGCGAAGCUGCGUCACGUGAUCGGAGCAGCUGAGGACGAACGCACCCCCCGCUCCUUCGGGGGGGGGGGGGGGGGGGGGGAAGAAGAAGAGCUUAACCGCCAACAAAGCCGGGAGUCGUCACGCAGGUGGCCACGUGGGAAGGAGGGCGCUCAUUGGCUUAGCGGCGAGUUGUUCACGUGCACUACAUUACUCAGACUGAUGUGAGCAUUAAUGGAUGGCCUACAUAGCCUCACAGCUGUAAAGGGCAGUGUCACCUUGGAAAGUUUUUAAAGUGCAGUUUCACAUGUUUUAUCUGAUCUAAAUCAACUCGCUGCUAGGAAAGAAGGCAGCCAUCUUCGCCCACCCUAUUCCUGGUUAUGCAGUUCCAUCAGGGGCUCCAGCCCUCAGUGAGACAGCUCAGCCAGCUAACCCAGCAGGAAACUCAUAGGGGUCAACGGUUUUCUGAUGGUUUUAGUCCCUUCAUCAUUUCGCUCAGGUCAUACAAGCAUCAGCCAGCACUGGUGAGCUGGGAGGAUCCGUACCUGUGUGCUUCCUCACUGUGUCGGAGGUAUCCAGCUUCAAACUGUUGCUUUUCCACGUUGCCAACCUCACAGCAUGCCAUCAGAUCUGAGAGCUGCAGUGGGUCCUUGCUUGUUCAAACAUCAUCAUCCUGCAGGUCAGGUUGCUCUCGGCUACUUCUGCAAAAGGCUCCACUAUUUUCCAGUUAGGGACUCAGUAGUAUUUGUGUAAAGCCACGACCUUCACUGAGUUUGCUUAGGUGUAACUGCCUGGAACUUAUUAAACAGCUUGACUGACAAUUUAUGAGGACAGGCGUGACCCAGCUUCUACUUUUAGGAGUCUGAUGUUACCAUCAUCACUACAAAGCAGAGCAUGACACUCGACAUCUGUAAACUGAACACUAACUGCUGAAUUUAAAAAGGCAAUUUUUCCUCUGUAUUGGAUUGCUGGGGGGUUUUGUUUUGGUUUGUUGUUUUGUUUUGUUUUGUUUUUUUGUCUGGAAGCAAGCGCAGAUUUUGGAAUGACUCAUUAAAAUGGAGGAGGCAGAGAAAAAUGUCCUCCAAUGCCAGAAAAGCACCACAGUAGCAAUUGAGCGAUCUAAGAUGACUGUUCUGAUAAAUACACCACAGAGCAGGCAGAUCUUGCUUCAAAGGAAAAUUUAGAGGAUGCAGCAGCUUUUAAAGAAGCCAAGUGAGUGAUUGGCUGGGUGAAUGGGUGGACAGCAUCUCCAUGUCCUCACUGGCUAAGGGCUCUCACAUCCCCUGCUGUGCCUGCUUGCGGCUCCUUUAAGUGAAAAGAAAAGGGUGAUUGUACAGCUGUAAUCGUGGCCAAAUAAACAGAAAUGCUAUACACACCCAAUCCUUCAUCUUGAAAAGGUAAUUAUAGAUUUCUCUGAAAGGACUCUGGGUAUGUGUGAGCAAGAAUCACGCAAGCAAAAAUGAAAUAUGCAAUGAGGAGCUUAACUCAGAUCUGCCUCUUUCCUAGCUGACUGGUUUCCAUUUUGUGUGUAACCUUAUGUGGCAAUUUGUCUGCAUUUGGACCUCCAGACAGAAAUUUUUUAACAAUCCCCUAUCCAAAAAAUGAAAUCAAGUAACCAGAAGCUAGCCAUUUAGUGAACAGCAUAUUUUUCCCUGUUUCCUAAAGGACUGCCAAAUUACUGUUGUUACAUAACAUCAUGAGCUACAUCCCAAAUUCAUUUAUAAGACUUCUCUCUGCAUUUGUACAUAUUAUGUCAGAGGUUUCUCCUUUGUGGCUAGAGUUUCUGACCAAAGUAGAAGACACUUCUUCAAACUCAAGUAACAAUUCCUUGGGAAUUUCUGUACAAAAAUAAAUACAAGUAUUUUCUAAGAGAGAACUACUAGCUACCCACUAAUCAAAAGUGUGUAAAAAGCUUUCCUUUCCAGUAUUACAGAAAAUAUUUGUGGCUCAGAGAAUGAGGAGAGAAGUCUGGCAGCUCUGAAGAAAAUGGAAUUUACAACACAAAAAGGUGGCUUCUGAAUGAAGAUUAAUUUGUGUGCAUGGUCAGUGAACUCCUGCUGACACGUUAACAGCUUUGGUACCGUGGAUGUUACUUGCAUGCCCUGGGUACCGUACCUCAGCAAACAGAGCUCCUGUCAUAAGUAAGAUCCAUCCCAACCCAGAAACGAGGGGCCAGCCACAGCGAAAGGAGCUGCUCGUGCAGAGCUCACUGCAGGAUAGAGGCCAAAGUGACCUUGCUGGCAAGUGAUGAACUGUCCUGAUAAACACAGCACUGCAGAAAGCCACCUCCAGCCAAACAGCAGCACCAGGAGGUGGAAAACUAAUAUUCUUCCAUUCACCCCCUUCUUUCAUGAAGAUAGAAGGUCAAUAUAUAGACUUUUGUGGGGUUUUUUUUGGUUUUGGUUUUGUUUUUUUUUUUUUUAAAGUUAACACUGCAAAGGAAAAGAGGUUUUCUUCUUCCACCAGCAAGUGUACAGGAGAUAAACAUGCUAUGUUAUUAAGUACACAAAAGACAGGAAGGACGUAAAUGUUUCCAUAGUAACAUCUCAUUGUACAGCCUAGACCAUCAGUAUAGGGUGCUCUCAGAAACUGGGGGUGGGGGGGGGAGCAGUACUCAUGGGCCCCUGUAGCAGGGGAGCAAGGUGGGAGGGUGUACGUAUUGCUGGGGCCAGGAGAGAAAACAGUGAGAUGAAUGGAGAUGUUUGCUCUUUCUUGGAGUGCUAGGAAAGCCACAGCCAGGGAGAAGGGCUGGCAGCUGCUGCAUCAGAAGGGCACUCAACCCCCGUGGCUUUGGGCCCCCACUGAGCCUCAGGGCCCUGGAGAAGGGGCAGAUGGGCUUUUGGCUGGCCCUGAGCCCUGCUGAGGUGACUGGGGAGGAGGGAGCAUGGCCUGCUUUGCAGAAGGAGGAGUGUGAAGGCAAGUCCCCCAGGGGAUUCUUGUGAUAAUUUCUGUCCUUUGAACCUUCCGUCAGAAGGGACAGGAAGCCUUAUCCUGCACUUCAAUGAGCAAAGCAUUUGCGGAGACCAGCAGGAAUUUUUCAUGGAGACAAAGUGCUGGGGGAAACGCAACAGAGGAAUGAGGCAAAGGAGCUAGACAUUUUGAGCAAUUUCAAUGGAGAAUUAUCUACAACCUCUACAUCACAGGCUAAUUCGCAGUGCUUGGUUGGUUCCCUGCUCACGCAGCAUAAGCAGGUAUCUGAAGGAUCUUUCCUGCCAGAUUCUCAUCAUAAGCUCUUUAGAGAUUGCUUUAUAGACGUUCCAUUUUAAAACUAGAUUGAAAAGCAAAUAUACGUGAUUAAGAAUCAGGCUGGGAGGUAUUAGCGUGCAUCUUUUAUUACAUACAAACAGAAAGUAAGUUAGCCAUAUGCUCUGCCUCAUUUGUUUUGGUCUAGUACACCAAAUGGAAUCUCUAAUAAAUCAUUCAUUGCUUACCCA